rnacentral:rRNA from 1 species
AGAGUUUGAUCCUGGCUCAGAAUCAACGCUGGCGGCGUGCCUAACACAUGCAAGUCGAACGAGAAAGUGGAGCAAUCCAUGAGUAAAGUGGCGACCGGGUGAGUAACACGUGACUAACCUACCUUUGAGUGGGGGAUAACAUCGGGAAACCGAUGCUAAUACCGCAUAACAUCGCAAGAUCAAAGCAGCAAUGCGCUUAAAGAGGGGGUCGCGGCUGAUUAGCUAGUUGGCGGGGUAACGGCCCACCAAGGCGAAGAUCGGUAUCCGGCCUGAGAGGGCGCACGGACACACUGGAACUGAAACACGGUCCAGACUCCUACGGGAGGCAGCAGUGGGGAAUUUUGCGCAAUGGGGGAAACCCUGACGCAGCAACGCCGCGUGGAGGAUGAAGUCCCUUGGGACG